rnacentral:rRNA from 1 species
AACGAACGCUGGCGGCGUGUUUAAGACAUGCAAGUCGCACGGGAUAAGACAUGUAGUAAUACUUGUUUUAUUUAGUGGCGCACGGGUGAGUAACACGUGAAUUACAUGCCCUAUAGUGGGAAUAGCCCAGGGAAACUUGGAUUAAUACCCCAUGGUAUCGAAAGAUUAAAGGUGGCCGCAAGGCUGUCGCUAUAGGAUUGGUUCGCGCCCUAUCAGCUUGUUGGUGAGGUAACGGCUCACCAAGGCAAUGACGGGUACCUGGUCUGAGAGGACGAUCAGGCACACUGGAACUGAGACACGGUCCAGACACCUACGGGUGGCAGCAGUCGAGAAUAAUUCACAAUGGGGGCAACCCUGAUGGUGCAACGCCGCGUGGAGGAUGACGGUCUUCGGAUUGUAAACUCCUGUCAUCUGGGAGAAAGACCUGACGGUAAAUAGCCGGCAGGGUUGAUAGUACCAGAAGAGGAAGGGACGGCUAACUUCGUGCCAGCCGCCGCCGUAAAAC